AAAUUAGGGGUAAUAAAAUACCCAUCUCACUGAGUUGUUUUGAAUAUUAACCUAGUUAAUAUUUAUAAGGUCCUUAGAAAGGUGCCUAGCACACAGUGAGCUCUGUGCAAGUGUUACUAAAGAAAAUGAAUCAUCCUGUUCUUUUCCACAAUACCUAGACGUUGCCUUGCCCAGGAAGAGGAGAUUGGUUACAGACAAGCACAGAAGGAAGACCACACGAAGACACAGAAUGGAGGCUCUCUCUAUGCUACACAGAGAAGUCUCAGAAGAAACCAAUCUUGCUGGCACCUUGAUCUCAGGCUUCCAGCCUCCAGAAUUGUGAGAAAAUAAAGUUCUGUUGUUUGUCACCCCAUCUGUGGUAGGUUGUUAUGGCAGCCUGAGGAAACUAAUACAGGUGUCCUAAUGGAAAGGCCCAUGCUCUCAUAGCUGCUUGGCAGCCUCCAGGGUGAGUAAGAUGUGGCUGGAACGCAAGCACGCAUUGUCUGCAAGUCCUCAGCUGCUGAGGGAAGGCUGGACCUUGUGCUUGGCUGCAGGGUGUGGCCUCUGACACGGAAGCACUUUUCCAGCCCUGGGUGACUCUUGGAGUGAGUAUUAUCACAGACCAUGUCUGCACAAUUUACAUCCACCAAUGAAUUAACUUCUAUUUACAAGACUUGAAGAAAUGCACCAAGGUCGGCUGAAUGAAAACUCAACGUCAGUAGCAUUUUGUAAUUGAUGAUGAUGAUGAUGAAUUAAUUUGUGUACAAUGACUAUCAAUACCUAUUAUCAAUAUCCAUUACUUUUUUGUUUGUUUAUUUGUUUUUUUGGGUUUUCUUGUUUUGUUUUGUUUUUUUUUUUUUGCAUGUCUGAACUCUCUAUCUUGGUUGUAGCCUCAUUGUGGACAAGGAGUACAAUAACAUACUCAAUUUUGCAUCCUUU
rnacentral:lncRNA from 1 species